UAUCACCCUUUCUCAAAACCCUCCAAUGACUACGCAACUCUCCCCAAGGAAAAUCCAUAGCUCAUAGCUACAGGGUCUGACAGGACCCGACUCACAGUUCCUUUCAGAAUUCACCUGCUAUGCUCUUCUCCUCAUUUCAGCUGCUCCAGAAUCACCAACCUCUUUGCACAUGCACACGCAAAGCACAGACUGCCUCAGGGCUUUGGCACUUAAAGGCUCCUGGGCCUGAAGCACCUGGCCCUUAGGAAUGGCUGUCUGCCUGGGUAUCACUUUACCAGAGUGACCAUUCCCGGUCAUUCUCUCUGUCUUACACUGUUGUCUUCUUCAUAGCAACUAUCAGUUCUUGAUAUAUAUUUAUAUAUUGAUUGUUGAUUGUCUUCUCCACCCACAGCAAUGUAGUAAACUCCUUGAGGACAAAGACUAGUUCUUGUUCUCUGUUGUACUCCUGCUUCUUGGAACAAGGCCUUACAGAGAACAGGACUAAGGGGCCAGAUCCUGAAAUUCACUCCAGAGCAUCGGUUCUGAAAGCAUGUUACCUGGUCUAGCGACCUCAGCAUCGCCUGAGUACUUAUCAGAAAUGUGCAUUUCAAUGCCCUGCCCCAGGCCUGUUAAAACACUCAAGUGGAACCCCGAAAUCUGUGGCUUUACAAGCUUUGUAGGUGACUGUGAUGCACACGGACUCACUUCACAGUCAAAGAGUAUUGUUUUAAUGGCAAAAAAUCUGAUAUUCUUAUACGUACGUUUAAUAAAUUAUGUUACAUCAAGACUCUGAAAUAUCAUGCAGCCAUCAAAAAGAAUGAAUAGGAACAAAGUCGGCAAACUUUUCUGUUUUGGACCAGAUAGUAAAUGGCUUUGCAGGCCACACCAUCACCAACUACUCGACUCUGCUGUUUCAGUGUGAACAACAACUCAUAAAUGAACAGGGAGGAUGUAGCUGUGUUCCAAUAAAAUUUAAAUUAUAAAAACAGUCAUAGGCCAGAUUGCACCCGUGGGCUGUAGUUUGUCAACCUCUGAAUUACAACUGUACUACAAGACUUCAAACUAUUUCCAUUAAAUGUUUACUGUUGAACGGAAAAACUAGGGGUUAGUCGUGUGUUGUGAUCACAAU
rnacentral:lncRNA from 1 species